rnacentral:rRNA from 1 species
UACGGAGGGGGUUAGCGUUGUUCGGAAUUACUGGGCGUAAAGCGCGCGUAGGCGGAUCGGAAAGUUGGGGGUGAAAUCCCGGGGCUCAACCCUGGAAUGGCCUUCAAAACUCCCGGUCUUGAGGUCGAGAGAGGUGAGUGGAAUUCCGAGUGUAGAGGUGAAAUUCGUAGAUAUUCGGAGGAACACCAGUGGCGAAGGCGGCUCACUGGCUCGAUACUGACGCUGAGGUGCGAAAGCGUGGGGAGCAAACAGG